CUAAUGUAGUGGCAAUAGGAAGGAAGCGUAGAGCAUAAAUCUGAGAGCUCCAAGGGAGAAGGACCGACUAGGACUUAUUGACUGUAUCAGUGAAAAUGGCUUCAGAUGAUCUCAUAGUCUCGGUGGCUUAAGACAACAAAGCUGGGUCUCUUGUCCACACUACAUGUCCAUUUCAGGCAGAGAGGCCCAUGGUUUAAUCACUCAGGAUUCAGGCUAAGAAACAACUCCAAGUGCCAGAAGGAGAGCCCUAAAGGGACUCUCCUAGACAAUUCAACACUACAGCCCAGAAGUGAUGC
rnacentral:lncRNA from 1 species